rnacentral:ncRNA from 1 species
UGGGGUCCGCGAACACCCCGUGAGGCUUUGGCCCAAGCGUCGC